rnacentral:tRNA from 1 species
GCGACUUUAGCUCAGUGGUAGAGCAACUGUCUUACACGCAGUAGGUCGGGAGUUCGAAACUCUCAAGUCGUA